CGGGACACGUGAUAUCCUGUCUGAAUAUGGGGGGACCAUCCUCCAAGGCUAAAUACUCCUGACUGACCGAUAGUGAACCAGUACCGUGAGGGAAAGGCGAAAAGAACCCCUGUGAGGGGAGUGAAAUAGAACCUGAAACCGUGUACGUACAAGCAGUAGGAGCACCUUCGUGGUGUGACUGCGUACCUUUUGUAUAAUGGGUCAGCGACUUAUAUUCAGUGGCAAGGUUAACCGUAUAGGGGAGCCGUAGCGAAAGCGAGUCUUAACUGGGCGCUCAGUCUCUGGAUAUAGACCCGAAACCGGGUGAUCUAGCCAUGGGCAGGUUGAAGGUUGAGUAACAUCAACUGGAGGACCGAACCGACUAAUGUUGAAAAAUUAGCGGAUGACUUGUGGCUAGGGGUGAAAGGCCAAUCAAACUCGGAGAUAGCUGGUUCUCCCCGAAAGCUAUUUAGGUAGCGCCUCGGACGAAUACUACUGGGGGUAGAGCACUGUUAAGGCUAGGGGGUCAUCCCGACUUACCAACCCUUUGCAAACUCCGAAUACCAGUAAGUACUAUCCGGGAGACACACGGCGGGUGCUAACGUCCGUCGUGGAGAGGGAAACAACCCAGACCGCCAGCUAAGGUCCCAAAGUAUUGCUAAGUGGGAAACGAUGUGGGAAGGCUCAGACAGCUAGGAUGUUGGCUUAGAAGCAGCCAUCAUUUAAAGAAAGCGUAAUAGCUCACUAGUCGAGUCGGCCUGCGCGGAAGAUGUAACGGGGCUAAGCAAUACACCGAAGCUGCGGCAAUAUCUUUUAGAUAUUGGGUAGGGGAGCGUUCUGUAAGCCGUUGAAGGUGAAUCGUAAGGUUUGCUGGAGGUAUCAGAAGUGCGAAUGCUGACAUGAGUAACGACAAAGGGGGUGAAAAACCUCCUCGCCGGAAGACCAAGGGUUCCUGUCCAACGUUAAUCGGGGCAGGGUGAGUCGACCCCUAAGGUGAGGCCGAAAGGCGUAAUCGAUGGGAAACGGGUUAAUAUUCCCGUACUUCUGACUAUUGCGAUGGGGGGACGGAGAAGGCUAGGUGGGCCAGGCGACGGUUGUCCUGGUUCAAGUGCGUAGGCUUGAGAGUUAGGUAAAUCCGGCUCUCUCUAAGGCUGAGACACGACGUCGAGCUGCUACGGCAGUGAAGUCAUUGAUGCCAUGCUUCCAGGAAAAGCCUCUAAGCUUCAGAUAGUCAGGAAUCGUACCCCAAACCGACACAGGUGGUCGGGUAGAGAAUACCAAGGCGCUUGAGAGAACUCGGGUGAAGGAACUAGGCAAAAUGGUACCGUAACUUCGGGAGAAGGUACGCUCUUGAUGGUGAAGUCCCUCGCGGAUGGAGCUGACGAGAGUCGCAGAUACCAGGUGGCUGCAACUGUUUAUUAAAAACACAGCACUGUGCAAAAUCGCAAGAUGACGUAUACGGUGUGACGCCUGCCCGGUGCCGGAAGGUUAAUUGAUGGGGUUAGCGCAAGCGAAGCUCUUGAUCGAAGCCCCGGUAAACGGCGGCCGUAACUAUAACGGUCCUAAGGUAGCGAAAUUCCUUGUCGGGUAAGUUCCGACCUGCACGAAUGGCGUAAUGAUGGCCACGCUGUCUCCACCCGAGACUCAGUGAAAUUGAAAUCGCUGUGAAGAUGCAGUGUACCCGCGGCUAGACGGAAAGACCCCGUGAACCUUUACUACAGCUUGGCACUGAACAUUGAACCUACAUGUGUAGGAUAGGUGGGAGGCUAUGAAGACGUGACGCCAGUUGCGUUGGAGCCGUCCUUGAAAUACCACCCUUGUAUGUUUGAUGUUCUAACUUAGACCCAUUAUCUGGGUUGAGGACAGUGCCUGGUGGGUAGUUUGACUGGGGCGGUCUCCUCCCAAAGAGUAACGGAGGAGCACGAAGGUGGGCUAAUCACGGUUGGACAUCGUGAGGUUAGUGCAAUGGCAUAAGCCCGCUUAACUGCGAGAAUGACGGUUCGAGCAGGUGCGAAAGCAGGUCAUAGUGAUCCGGUGGUUCUGUAUGGAAGGGCCAUCGCUCAACGGAUAAAAGGUACUCCGGGGAUAACAGGCUGAUACCGCCCAAGAGUUCAUAUCGACGGCGGUGUUUGGCACCUCGAUGUCGGCUCAUCACAUCCUGGGGCUGAAGUCGGUCCCAAGGGUAUGGCUGUUCGCCAUUUAAAGUGGUACGCGAGCUGGGUUUAGAACGUCGUGAGACAGUUCGGUCCCUAUCUGCCGUGGGCGUUGGAAGAUUGAAGGGGGCUGCUCCUAGUACGAGAGGACCGGAGUGGACGAACCUCUGGUGUUCGGGUUGUGUCGCCAGACGCAUUGCCCGGUAGCUAAGUUCGGAAUUGAUAAGCGCUGAAAGCAUCUAAGCGCGAAGCGAGCCCUGAGAUGAGUCUUCCCUGA
rnacentral:rRNA from 1 species